UAUUUACUCCCUCCGUCCAAAAAUACUUGUUGGAGGAAUGGAUGUAUCUAGUCAUAUUUUAGUUUUAGAUGCAUCCAUAUUUACCCAUUUCUGCGACAAGUAUUUCCGGACGGAGGGAGUAUAUA
rfam:Triticum aestivum genome assembly, contig: Triticum_aestivum_CS42_TGACv1_scaffold_112130_2AS